UACAGAGGGUGCGAGCGUUAAUCGGAAUUACUGGGCGUGAAGCGCGCGUAGGCGGCUUUGCAAGUCGGGUGUGAAAUCCCCAGGCUUAACCUGGGAACUGCAUUCGAGACUGCAUUGCUAGAGUAUGGGAGAGGGAAGUGGAAUUUCAGGUGUAGCGGUGAAAUGCGUAGAUAUCUGAAGGAACAUCAGUGGCGAAAGCGACUUCCUGGACCAAUACUGACGCUCAUGUGCGAAAGCGUGGGGAGCAAACAGG
rnacentral:rRNA from 1 species